GACGAACGCUGGCGGCGUGCUUAACACAUGCCAGUCGAACGGAAAGGCCCUGCUUUUGUGGGGUGCUCGAGUGGCGAACGGGUGAGUAACACGUGAGUAACCUGCCCUUGACUUUGGGAUAACUUCAGGAAACUGGGGCUAAUACCGGAUAGGAGCUCCUGCUGCAUGGUGGUGGUUGGAAAGUUUCGGCGGUUGGGGAUGGACUCGCGGCUUAUCAGCUUGUUGGUGGGGUAGUUGCUUACCAAGGCUUUGACGGGUAGCCGGCCUGAGAGGGUGACCGGCCACAUUGGGACUGAGAUACGGCCCAGACUCCUACGGGAGGCAGCAGUGGGGAAUAUUGCACAAUGGGCGGAAGCCUGAUGCAGCAACGCCGCGUGCGGGAUGACGGCCUUCGGGUUGUAAACCGCUUUCGCCUGUGACGAAGCGUGAGUGACGGUAAUGGGUAAAGAAGCACCGGCUAACUACGUG
rnacentral:rRNA from 1 species